rnacentral:rRNA from 1 species
GACGAACGCUGGCGGCGUGCCUAAUACAUGCAAGUCGAACGAAGCUUUUUUAACUGGUGCUUGCACCGACUUAAACAACUGAGUGGCGAACGGGUGAGUAACACGUGGGUAACCUGCCCCAAAGCGGGGGAUAACAUUUGGAAACAGAUGCUAAUACCGCAUAACCACAGAAACCACAUGGUUUCUGUGUCAAAGAUGGUUUCGGCUAUCACUUUGGGAUGGACCCGCGGCGUAUUAGCUAGUUGGUAAGGUAAUGGCUUACCAAGGCAAUGAUACGUAGACGAACUGAGAGGUUGAUCGGCCACAGUGGGACUGAGACACGGCCCAAACUCCUGCGGGAGGCAGCAGUAGGAAAUCUUCCACAAUGGACGAAAGUCUGAUGGAGCAACGCCGCGUGAGUGAAGAAGGUUUUCGGAUCGUAAAACUCUGUUGUCAGAGAAGAACGUGUGCGAGAGUAACUGUUCGUGCAGUGACGGUAUCUGGCCAGAAAGCCACGGCUAACUACGUGCCAGCCGCCGCGGUAA